AGAGACGUGGGUCAGUGCGAGGCUUCCCCCCCUUGCUGUGAUCGAAUCUGACGUACAGUGAGAAUGUGCAUAUUCUCUUGGACUGCCUUCGUUACAAUAAUCAGCCGUGGUCAAAUCGACUUUGUUGGUCGAGGAAGUACGAGAUGAAAGAGAGAAAUGGAGCACAAUAGGAAGAGGAGGUUUUUGUCUUUCAGCGCGCACGCAGACAAAAGGCAUGUGGCCUGAUGGAAAUGCUAUAGAGCAUGCAAGCUGCACAAGAGGUAGUGGGUUAACUAAUCAGAGAAGACACACAGACAAAACAUAGCUGCACGGGGAGAGAGUGCUGCACUCGUUAAAUGCAUUCGUUUUCGUGACUGACAGGGUGUGUGUGGGGUUUUUUGUUGUUUUGUUUUUUUUGGUGCGUGUGCAUUUAAGAGGAGCAGCCUUCAUUGAAGCGAACAGAUUUGUGUAUCCACACUACCAGGUUCCUCCACUGGCCUUCACCCGAGAAUCUCAGGAUCUCAGAUGGUAUCACUGGUGACAACGGGACAGUCGUCCGCUGGAUAGACGUUAAUCACAAUAAUACAGGGCAGGCUAAUCACGACUCACUGAUCAAGCGCUUAAUGACAUGCCUGCCGUACCCACUGUAACCAGCCCGCUGCUGAGGGAUUCACACACCAAGGCUAGCCCCUUUUGUGGGGGGCAGGAGGAGGAGGAGAAGGAGGAUGGCGGUUAUGAGCCUGGUGCACAGCCAUCCAGACAAUAAUUACUCGAUGACUGUGGUCACAUUAAGGAUCAGUCAAAGCAGAUUAAUUUCGACUGAUAGCAUUGGUCCCUCCUAAAUGCAGAUUUUCUUAAUAAGAGUGAAAUUGUGCCACUGCGAGGUUAGGCACAGAGAGAGAUUUGCUUAUACGGCGAUACUGCAAUUACUUAUCUGGAGAGACAAUGUCUUCUUGUUUGCACAAAUCAAACUGUACUUCUGAAUGUCAGUGCAAAAAUUACCACACAAAUGUGUAGUUUUUUGUUGUUGUUUUGUUUGUUUUAAUAUCGAC
ensembl:lncRNA